UUACGACCAUAUCACGUUGAAACAACAGUUCCCGUACGAUCACCGAAGUUAAGCAAUGUCAAGCCCGGUUAGUAGUGCCUAGAUAGAUGACCGCUUCGGAAUACCAAUUGCUGUAAG